CCUACGGGAGGCAGCAGUAGGGAAUUUUGCGCAAUGGGCGAAAGCCUGACGCAGCAACGCCGCGUGAUCGAGACGCCCUUCGGGGUGUUAAGGUCUGUCAGUGGGGACGAAACUUGAGGGUAAGCACAUAGGAAUCACCUGCUAACUCCGUGCCAGCAGCCGCCGUAAAACGGGGGGUGCGAGCGUUGGGCGGUAUCUUUGGGCGUAACGGGGUCAGGGGCGGCACGUAAAGUCUGGUGUUAAAGGCAAAGGCUCAACUUCAGGACGGCACGGGAUACUUGCGAGCUAGAGUGCAGUAGAGGAUAAGGGAAUUCCUGGGGUAGCGGUGAAAUGCGUAGAUAUAAGGAGGAACAUCAGUGGCGAAAGCGCUUUACUGGGCCGUAAUUGACGCUGAGGAACGAAAGCGAGGGUAGCAAAUAGGAUUAGAUACCCCUGUAGUC
rnacentral:rRNA from 1 species